UACGGAGGGUGCGGGCUUUAAUCGGAAUUACUGGGCGUAAAGCGCACGUAGGCGGUUGGGUAAGUCGGAUGUGAAAGCCCUGGGCUUAACCUGGGAACUUCAUUCGAUACUGCUCGGCUAGAGUAUGGGAGAGGGAAGCGGAAUUUCCGGUGUAGCGGUGAAAUGCGUAGAUAUCGGAAGGAACACCAAUGGCGAAGGCAGCUUCCUGGCCCAAUACUGACGCUCAGGUGCGAAAGCGUGGGGAUCAAACAGG
rnacentral:rRNA from 1 species